rnacentral:misc_RNA from 1 species
GUUUUUCUUUCUCUGCACGUGAACAGCACUUUUGAUGAUUUCUUGGCCCAAGCUGAUAGUUUGGGUACCAUUUUUGCUGCUCUUAAUGAUGAGGACUUUGAUGUUCGAGAGCUUGCAAUAUCAGUGGCUGGCAGAUUAUCUGAAAGGAACCCAGCAUAUGUUCUUCCGGCACUUCGUCGUCACCUUAUAAAACUUCUGACCCACCUUGAGCAUAG